rfam:Gossypium arboreum cultivar AKA8401 contig_33123_1, whole genome shotgun sequence.
UAUUAAAAAUUUCAUCCAUUUCAACUAUUAAAAAUUAACAUUGUUGAUAGAAUAUCCAGACAGUUACAAGUGGCAUGCCAUGUGUACUUCAUGUUGAUGUACAAGGACUAAUUACUAACAAUAAAAAUGAAUGAAAUUUUCAACA